rnacentral:rRNA from 1 species
UACGGAGGGUGCAAGCGUUGUCCGGAUUUAUUGGGUUUAAAGGGUGCGUAGGCGGCCUAAUAAGUCAGUGGUGAAAGCCUCCAGCUUAACUGGAGAACUGCCAUUGAUACUGUUAGGCUUGAGUAUACUUGAGGUAGGCGGAAUUGACAGUGUAGCGGUGAAAUGCAUAGAUAUUGUCAAGAACACCAAUUGCGAAGGCAGCUUACUAAAUUAUAACUGACGCUGAGGCACGAAAGUGUGGGUAGCAAACAGG